ensembl:lncRNA GFOD3P Gfo/Idh/MocA-like oxidoreductase domain containing 3, pseudogene
CUUUGAUCCGGUUUUCCAGUUCUUGCACAAGCAAGUUUGUGUCAGCCACGCCCUGGGGAGGAUCCACUGGAUCACCGCCGUCACUGCCUGUUCCCGGCGGCCUCUCCGGCUUCCCUAAAGAGAGCAGCUUCCCUCGAGACCAGAAGCCAGAGCUCACCCUCCCUUGUGUCCAGGUGGGACUUUCUACAACGCUGCUGUGCACGACGUGGAUGCCGUAUGCAUGUUGCUGGGGGAAGCCACUCCGGACACUGUGUUUUCUCUGGGACAUGUCUUCUGCCCAGGUAAGAGUGGGCCUCACUGUUGCAAGGUGCUCCUAUGGCCACCGAGGCUGGUUGAAGAUGUAGCACAGGCUGGGGCCCCUGUUCAGGAUUCCUCCCCCACUCCCAGCUUUGGGGAGCAGAUAAAGUAACAUGGAGCACAUGUAAAACAGAUGACUAAAUGGUCGCGUCACUGAAUCCCUCAGGCAUCAUGCAGGAAGUGUUUCACAUUUGAUGAACUUUGAGAGUCACUGUUGUAGUAACCAUUUCUCCAGCCCCUGCGAUGUGACAGGCCCCUGUCGUUUCUCAGGUUGCAAAGGUGAAGAAACACAGUCCCGGCUGGAAGUCACAGCCAGGGUGGGAUGCACACAGAUUAGCAGAUCAUCAGCGAGCACCAGGUGAAGGCGGGGCUGGGGAUGCUGGUUCCUAGGUCCUGGCCUGGCAGCAGAAGCUCAGGGUGGGUCCUGAGGGCUGCUGAAGAGGACAGAUUAUCUGUUGCUUUAUGACACACCACACACUUGAAACAACAGCCACUGGGUAGUUAGGAUUUUGCAGCCUGGACUGGGCUUGGCUGGAGUCCCUCUUCUGGUCUGCCCGGUGGUCACUCACGUGACUACAGCCAGCUGGUCAGCGGCCUGCCUGGAACAGCCCCACCAGGGUCCCAGGGCCGGGCCCCGCUGUCACCUGGGUUCUCUUCCGUGUCGUCCCCACGCCUCCUCAGGUCCCCACAGCAGCGUGGCCACACAUUUGAUGGCCUCAGGGGACCAAAGUAGAAGCACUGAGACAUCCUGAGGCUUGGGCCGGGACUGACGUGGUACCCCUCACACCACACUUUGUGUACUGGGGCAAGUCCAGGCCCAGCCAGUGCCAGUGCUGACUUCUCUCAGUGCCUGCUUCACUCUGUCUCGUCAGCACCCCCUUUUGGCACUGCCUCCCCCGUCUGCCCAAAGUUCACCCACACACCCUGCUCCGCUGGCCACCACCCCGAUCCCAGCCAUGUCCUCAUCCUGGCUGUGGCCAUCUGCCUGCAAUCUCUUCCCUGUAAGACCUCAGUUGGACCAGGUGCCCACCUGCUCUGAGCUCUCCAGAGCACAGGUGGAGGCCAUGGUCUCCGCAGACCCCGCGGGCCUGUCACCGGUCGAGGGUCUUGACUGCACAUUGUCCAGGUUCUUGGCCUUUUGAACAAAGAAUUGGACAAAACACCCAGCAAAGCAAAGAAAGGAUGAAGCAACAAAAGUACGAAAGCAGGGAUUUAUUGAAAAUGAAACACACUCCACAGUGUGGGAGCGGCCCGAGCAGCAGCUCUAGGGCCGGAUACAGAAUCUUCUUGGGCCCAAAUACCCCCUAGAAGUUUCCCAUUGGCCACUUCAUGCUCACCUCAUGUAAACGAAGUGGUUGCAAAAAGCAACCAGUCAGAGGCUGGAGUGAAGUUACAAAGUUAUACUUCUGUGCAGAUGAAAACUCAGCCUGUAAUCAGUCUGAUUGGUGUGAACAGCGACCAUUCAGAGGCUGGAGUGAGUGAAGUUACAAAGUUGCAAAGGAAGACUUGACCCACAAUCAGUCUGAUUUGUUGCAGACAGCCAGUUUCCCAUCUGCCAGGCAGAAAACGUGAGUGGGGUUUGCAAAGGCCUCCGGUCCUUUUGUUACUUAGGAGUGGAAAGUUAGGGUUUUCCCUUCAACAUAGUUCAAGGAAGUUGUGAAACAGCCUUAGGUUCCCUGCCUCCAGACCCUAAUCUCCUGCCUCAGGCUCACGGGUGCCGCCCCCCGCAACCCCACUGUCCUCUUGUCCACUUCUCGCUCUUCCUCAGAAGGCCAGACAAGUACCUGUCUGGGGCCCGCUCCCCGGGUGGGACAUGGGGACUGGCUCUGCUAGGCCCAUGGCUGUACUCCCAGGGUCCAGAAGGUGCCUGGGCCCGGGACCGCCAACGCUACAGAAGCUUAGCAAACACGGAAUUGGACUGCUUGCUGGGCAGCGUCCCCGUGCCUCUCAGGGACCCAUUUUGGAACAAUUUAAUUUUCUAUUAAGGACCAGUUUCUGUGUCACUACUUGGCUAUGCCCUCCGCCCACUGCUUCAGUUAAAGCCGUGAGUUCAGGCCGGGUGUGGUGGUAUUCCCAGCACUUUGGGAGGCCCAGGCUGCAGGAUCACUUGAGGUCAGGAGUUCGAAACCAGCCUGGCCAACAUGGUGAAACCCGUCUCUACUAAAAAUACAAAAAAAAUCAGCCGGGUGUGAUAGUGAACGCCUGUAAUCCCAGCUACUUGAGAGGCUGAGGCAGGAGAAUUGCUUGAACCUGGGAGGCAGAGUUUGCAGUGAGCCAAGAUCGUGCCACUGCACUCCAGCCUGGGUGACAGCAAGAUUCUCUCAAAAACAAAACCAAACAAAACAGUUUCUCAUUUGCCUAAAUCAACUUUUGUAUCAUCUAAAGUUUUCUUCUGCUUAGAUAUGGCCGCCUUAAAAGAUGCAGAUGCUGUUGUGAUCAGCAUGAAGUUUCCCUGUGAGGCCGUGGUUAGCGUGGACAUCAGCCAGCACUGCACAGACAGCUGCGACCAGGACGUCAGCCAGCACUGCACAGACAGCUGCGACCAGAGACUGGAGGUGACCCUUGCCCUUUUCCACCCUUCGCCAGUCCACUGUGAAAAGCUGGGUUGAUUGUGCGGGUUAGAUAGAGGUCAUCAGCCGGGUUGAUUGUGUGGGUUAGACAGAGGUCAUCAGCCAGGUUGAUUGUGUGGGUUAGAUAGAGAUCAUCAGCCUGGUAGAUUGUGUGGGUUAGAUAGAGGUCAUCAGCCAGGUUGAUUGUGCGGGUUAGAUAGAGAUCAUCAGCCGGGUUGAUUCUACAGGUUAGAUAGAGGUCGUCAGCCGGGUUGAUUGUGCGGGUUAGAUAGAGAUCAUCAGCCGGGUUGAUUGUGCGGGUUAGAUAGAGGUCAUCAGCUGGGUUGAUUGUGUGGGUUAGAUAGAGAUCAUCAGCUGGGUUGAUUGUGUG